AUUCUCAUAUAAAUUAUAAAUUUUAAUUUAUUUAUUAUGUGAUACAGAUAUAAAAAAUAAUAAUAAUUUUGGUUAUCUGUAUGAUAUAAAUAAAUUAUAUAUAUAAAAAUAAAAUAGUUUUAAUUUAAUGAUAAAUAAAAAUAGAUUUGAAUUUUAAUUGUAUAAUUAAAAUUUUAAAUUAAUUUUAUUUGUUAAAGCUCAUUAAAU
rnacentral:lncRNA from 1 species